rnacentral:rRNA from 1 species
CCCCCAGACUCCUACGGGAGGCAGCAGUGGGGAAUAUUGCACAAUGGGGGAAACCCUGAUGCAGCGACGCCGCGUGAGUGAAGAAGUAUUUCGGUAUGUAAAGCUCUAUCAGCAGGGAAGAAAAUGACGGUACCUGAUUAAGAAGCCCCGGCUAACUACGUGCCAGCAGCCGCGGUAAUACGUAGGGGGCAAGCGUUAUCCGGAUUUACUGGGUGUAAAGGGAGCGUAGACGGCAGCGCAAGGCUGAAGUGAAAGGCCGGGGCUUAACCCCGGAACUGCUUUGGAAACUGUGCAGCUAGAGGGCAGGAGAGGUAAGGGGAAUUCCUAGGGGAGCGGUGAAAUGCGGAGAUAUUAGGAGGAACACCAGUGGCGAAGGCGGCUUACGGGAAGGUAACUGACGGGGAGGCUCGAAAGCGGGGGGAGCAAACAGGAUUAGAUACCCCAGUA